UUAGAUACCCUAUUAUUUUGAGUGUUAAUGUUUUUACCUGAGUAGUAUUAGUUGUGUUCUUGAAACUUAAAGAAUUUGGCGGUAUCUUACUCCUUUCAGAGGAAUCUGUCUCGUUAUCGAUAGUCCGCGUUGGACCUUACUUGGGGUUGAAUUAUGGUUUGUAUACCGCCGUUUAUUGAUUAUCUUUUUAGAGCUUCUGAAUUUUCUGGUUUCUUUAAUUUGAUUUAUUGCAGGUCAAGGUGCAGCUUUUCCUAAGUGUAAUGAUGGAUUACAGUGUUAUUUGGUGUUUUUGGAUUGUUUGAUUUGAAUAUUGGCAUGAAAUUGGAUUUGGUUGUAAUGUUUUGUAGAUUGUUUACAUGAUAGUUUGGUUCUAGGAUAUGUACACAUCGCCCGUCGCUCUCAUUUAAGUUGUUGAUGAGAUAAGUCG
rnacentral:rRNA from 1 species